GGGUUGUGAGGUUAAGCGACUAAGCGUACACGGUGGAUGCCCUGGCAGUCAGAGGCGAUGAAGGGCGUGCUAAUCUGCGAUAAGCGCCGGUAAGGUGAUAUGAACCGUUAUAACCGGCGAUACCCGAAUGGGGAAACCCAGUGUGAUUCGUCACACUAUCAUUAACUGAAUCCAUAGGUUAAUGAGGCGAACCGGGGGAACUGAAACAUCUAAGUACCCCGAGGAAAAGAAAUCAACCGAGAUUCCCCCAGUAGCGGCGAGCGAACGGGGAGGAGCCCAGAGCCUGAAUCAGCAUGUGUGUUAGUGGAAGCGUCUGGAAAGGCGCGCGAUACAGGGUGACAGCCCCGUACACAAAAGCGCAUAUGCUGUGAGCUCGAUGAGUAGGGCGGGACACGUGGUAUCCUGUCUGAAUAUGGGGGGACCAUCCUCCAAGGCUAAAUACUCCUGACUGACCGAUAGUGAACCAGUACCGUGAGGGAAAGGCGAAAAGAACCCCGGCGAGGGGAGUGAAAAAGAACCUGAAACCGUGUACGUACAAGCAGUGGGAGCACAGGUUUACCUGUGUGACUGCGUACCUUUUGUAUAAUGGGUCAGCGACUUAUAUUCUGUAGCAAGGUUAACCGUAUAGGGGAGCCGUAGGGAAACCGAGUCUUAAUUGGGCGUUAAGUUGCAGGGUAUAGACCCGAAACCCGGUGAUCUAGCCAUGGGCAGGUUGAAGGUUGGGUAACACUAACUGGAGGACCGAACCGACUAAUGUUGAAAAAUUAGCGGAUGACCUGUGGCUGGGGGUGAAAGGCCAAUCAAACCGGGAGAUAGCUGGUUCUCCCCGAAAGCUAUUUAGGUAGCGCCUCGUGAAUUCAUCUCCGGGGGUAGAGCACUGUUUCGGCUAGGGGGCCAUCCCGGCUUACCAACCCGAUGCAAACUGCGAAUACCGGAGAAUGUUAUCA
rnacentral:rRNA from 1 species